rnacentral:rRNA from 1 species
GACGAACGCUGGCGGCGUGCUUAACACAUGCAAGUCGAACGGAAAGGCCCUGCGUUUGUGGGGUUCUCGAUUGGCGAACGGGUGAGUAACACGUGAGUAACCUGCCCUUGACUUUGGGAUAACUUCAGGAAACUGGGGCUAAUACCGGAUAGGAGCUCCUGCUGCGUGGUGGGGGUUGGAAAGUUUCGGCGGUUGGGGCUGGACUCGCGGCUUAUCAGCUUGUUGGUGGGGUAGUGGCUUACCAAGGCUUUGACGGGUAGCCGGCCUGAGAGGGUGACCGGCCACAUUGGGACUGAGGUACGGCGCAGACUGCUACGGGAGGCAGCAGUGGGGAAUAUUGCACAAUGGGCGGAAGCCUGAUGCAGCAACGCCGCGUGCGGGAUGACGGCCUUUGGGUUGUAAACCGCUGUCGCCUGUGACGAAGCGUGAGUGACGGUAACGGGUAAAGAAGCACCGGCUAACUACGUG